GUGUGUGCUGCCUUUUGCUUCUUGCAUCCUAACGAGCUUCAACAGACACAAAUUAAGGAGCAAUGGGAGUAUCCACAAAUUUCCCCAGCCUUCAGGGCAUCUUUCUGUUUUAAGGCUGUAACUCAGGCCUCAUCUGGGGAGGCCACUGAAAGUACCACACACUUUCCAAGUCUCAGGAUCACCAGGGAGGGAUUCUUGCUCUUGCUCUGUUACCUUUUCUCUUGUUACUAAGGCCACUCAUAGAAAUCCAAAUUGUUUCUCUUUCCCUUUUUAGUUCUAGGAUGACAACUCAGCUGUUUCUGGAAAAAUUACAACCUUGGCCAGGACGUUCCAAAUAAGUUAAAACAAUCUCUACAUCUGAGGGAGACAGCCUUUUACGAUCUCAAGCAUGUAGAAGUGCUCAAAAGCAUAUGUUGAAGGAAUGAAGGGGAAAAAUGAAAACCGAAUAAAUGAGUGGAGAUGGGCUCUUCCUGUAUUACCCAGGUUGACCCUCCUGCCUCAGACUCCUGAGAAGCUGGCAUUAGGGUGUGCACCACCAUUCCCAUCUGAACUUUAGGAAAAAAUAUUUAGAUGUUUCAGUGAAAACCUGAUGAAGAUAAAUUGCAGUGUGAAUGAAAUGACAGGGAAAAUCAAAUGCCAAUUUUAUUAGAAAGAACCCACUGGGGAGACACGUUGAAACCAGGAGCUCAUGGCUGAAGACUACAUGGCUAGAGACAAGUAAGGGGCUGAGGACAGAGCAGAGAAGAAACAUUGAGGGAGAAGUAAAUGAGGGGAGAGAAGAAGAAACUGAGGAGGCCGUGAGCCUGGAUGCUGCAUGGGGGAGUGAAGAAUUUGAAUUGCUGGGAUGGCCAAGAAGUGUUUGGAGUCCAGCAUCACUCACUGGGGACAUGAUGACGUUUGUUCUGCAGCAGGGAAUGUCUUCCUAGCAUGACUGGCAGUGGAGAAUGUCUGUCUUUUACUGGAAAAC
rnacentral:lncRNA from 1 species